GUUUUCAGGUGACCAGUAGUGAGCUUGUAGAAGGCGCGGGAGGCUAGGCUGGCAGGUGUAGAUUUGCAUCUUCUUGCUUAAGACGCUUUCAGACUAUAAGUAUGUACUUUCGCUUUCUUGGCAUGCCACCAGUUGUAUAAUAUUUUGUGUAUUGUAAACCAGAUAUUAUAUAAAAUAAAUAAAGCGAAUGUUUUAUGCAAAUGCCUUGUUGUUCUGAUAUUAGCUUGUCCAAGCUAACACAACGUCAGAUUAGAGUACGGGUUGAGAAGCCUUAGGCUUUUGUCUGACGGGAUGUGUUAGUGGGUGGCUGGCCUAGUUACGAAUUGCACCUUUUGUAACUUUGGCUGGAUUGCCCGUUAACCCAUCUUGUAGCACUCCUGAACCUUGGUAGACGGUCGGGCCGUCGGUCAUGUUCUUGUUUGAUUGUUGGCCGGUGGUUCGACAUAUGCCUAGAACGGUUUGGGGGUGUUACAAACGGGGUGUUAGGUUUUUUGGUGGUCGCGUUCGGACAAUUUGUUAGUAUUAUCGUCGAAUUUUAACUUUUGCGACGUCUCGCAGUUGUUUCGGGGAUUAUACGUGUAUCUUUGCGUGUUUGAAAGAUGAUAAUUUUACGAUUUUUGGACCGGAUGAGGCCGCAGAUAAGAGUCUUAAUGUUUCCAGGCGUGUCCUGAAAUUUUUUUGUGUUUAACUGAAGCGUAUAAAGGAGCAACGUAGAUUGUAGUAAAAGUUUUUGAAGUUUCUAAAAACUCGAUUACAAUAAUGAAGAUUUUUCUAAGUGGGAGUAUACGAGUAUAUGCACCCACUCCCCCCCCCCCCUUUUUAGAGAGGGGGAUAGCUGAACUUGUCUUUUGACGAGCUGCCUACAUACCCCUUUCGAGGAUCAAGCCAUCUCGUAGU
rnacentral:lncRNA from 1 species